rnacentral:lncRNA from 1 species
CAACUAGUAGAAUAUACAAAAGAAUAAAUCUAUCCUACUGUCUGAAAUAGAAUAGACAGCCAAAAUAAUGAGAGACUCCAUCAUGCUGCUGAACGGCACAGAAAGGGAGCAGCUCAUCGUGAAAGUCUCGAACACUGAUCAAGAAUGCGCACCAGACGAGUAACCAGAUGUACCUGCCUCAGAUACUGUACAGUUAAGUAUAGAAGUGUAGUAUGAGUACAUAAAAAAUAUGUACCCAGUAAGUAUCCUGUCUAAUCUCGAAGAAGUAGAGACGAGAGGUCGACUUGACACUUACUAGGGUCAAAUAAUAUGAGAAAUGAAUCAUAUUGAGCAUGGAUAGUACAAAUAAUUAACAGUUUAUAUCAGGAAAUAACAGAUCCUUUCCUAGAUAAUAUCACAGUUGGCCACUUACAUUUUAGGGAAUAUAACAAAUCUCAAUCCACAUAAAAAAUACUGAGUAAAAGCAUGCGCAAGUAGUGCAGAGAUCGUACGACCCGAUCCAACAUAAAAGUAAAUUGUCGAGGGUCGAACGACGUGAACCAUAGAUGUAUCUAUUACUCUGCUCGCAAAUCAGACAUGCGACACGGUCAAAUAUAAUUAAACACAACAACAGGCAGACAAGAAUAUAUAUCUGGGGAGCAAUUACUCACAGAAAUAUCAAUUUCUCUUUAAAAGGGGCAAGAAGAUAAUGUUCCUCUUAUUAGUCUCAUUUACCAUAAUCAUCAUGUUUUAAACAAUCCAAAUUAAACAUAAAAUUACAAGAAUAUCACAUAAAGCAUGCUUUUGGGUCCUAGACUACCCGGACUUAGCCUAAUAGAACCUACGCACGGACUCUCGUCACCUAGUGCAUAUGUAGCCCCCGCAUUCAAUGGCAAAAUAUUUGAUUAUAUCACCUAUAGGGACAAUUCCCUUUUACAAGGUUAUAUAGGAGACUCACAUCACUCCAAAGUGUACUUCAAAUACCAAGAACGUGCUCAAACCCCUCAAUUUGGAGCCGAACGAUCUAAAACUAAUUAAACGAGGUAGGAACUAGUCAAUACAAGCUCAAGAGUUCAUAUUUUAAUUAUUAAAGUAAUUUUCCAACCUUAAACACAAGUUUUCUAAAAUCCGACCCCGAGCCCACGUGCCCGGAUUCCAAAAUUUUACGAAGAAAGUUGUUCUUUAUAACCUAAGGAUCAAUAAUAUAUGAUUUCUAAUGCAUUUCAUAACAAAUUUCGUGGUUAAAUCUAACUUUUAUCAAAACCCUAGGUUUUGCUCUAACCCCAUGAUUUUACCUUAAUCUUUGUGUGUUAAUCUACCCAAGGGUCAAGUAUUAAACUAGAAUUAGGUAGGAUAAACUUACCUCAAGAUGCUAGGUGGAAGUCCUCUCUCAAGAGCUCCAAAAUCACCUAAUGGGUGAGUGAAAAAUAGCCAAAAUAGCUUAGAGCCCGACUCGUAACACCUCAUAAGAAAUCUCCCCAACUCGCUUCAACACCUCAAAUGGGCCAAUAAACCUUGGGCUCAGCUUGCCCCUCUUCCCGAAACUCAUAACACCCUUCAUUGGCGAGACUUUCAAGAGGACCUUCUCGCCAACCAUGAAUGAUACAUCGCGUGCCUUCUGAUCUGCGUAACUCUUCUGUCUGGACUGAGCUAUGCGAAGCCUCUCCUGAAUCAACUUUACCUUGUCCAAGGCAUCUUGCACCAAGUCUGUACCGUAUAACUUAGCCUCACCAGGAUCAAACCACCCGAUAGGAAAUGACACCGCCGACAAUACAAAGCCUCAAAUAAAGCCAUCUCUAUGCUGGACUGAUAGAUGUUGUUGUAAGCAAACUCUGCCAAGGGCAAGAACUGAUCCCACCAUCCUCCAAAAUCAAUCACGCAUGCUCUAAGCAUGUCCUCCAAGAUCUGAACUGUCUGCUCCGACUACCCGUCGGUCUGAGGAUGAAAUGUUGUGCUAAUCUCUACACGGGUCCCCAACUCACUCUGAACGGCUCUCCAGAAAUGGGAAGUGAUCUGAGCGCCUCUAUUUGAUAUGAUGGAAACAGGCACACCAUGCAACCGGACUAUCUCCCGAAUGUAAAUCUGAGCCAAUCUCUCUGAAGUGUAAGUAGUCACAACCGGAAUAAAGUGUGUUGAUUUGGUCAACCUGUCAACUAUGAUCCAUACUGCAUCAAACUUCCGCAAAGUCCGGGGCAACCCAACUACGAAGUCCAUAGUAAUGCGCUCCCACUUCCACUAUGGUAUAGGCAUCUGCUGAAGUAGGCCACCCAGCCUCUGGUGCUCAUACUUAACUUGCUGGCAAUUCAAACACCUAGCCACAUACUCUACUAUGUCCUUCUUCAUCCUCCGCCACCAAUAAUGCUAUCUCAAGUCAUGAUACAUCUUUGUCGCACUCGGAUAAAUGGAAUACCACGAACUGUGUGCCUCCUCUAGUAUUCUUUCCCUCAGACCAUCAACAUUAGGAACACAUAGGCAACCCUGGAGUUGCAAAACACCAUCCUCACCAAUAGAAACCUCUUUGGCACCUCCUUGCAUCACUGUCUCUCUGAGAACUGCCAAAUAUGGAUCAUCGAACUGUCGGGCCUUGAUCUGCCCCAAUAAUGAAGACUAAGCAACUACACACACAAGAACUCGGUUGGGCUCUGAAAUAUCCAACCUCACAAGUCUGUUAGCCAACGAUUGAAUGUCCAAAGUUAGUGACCUCUCCUCUGCUGGAAUGAAUGACAAGCUACCCAUACUCUCUGCUUUCCUGCUUAAGGUAUCGCGACCACAUUUGCCUUGCCUGGAUGAUAAAGAAUGGUGAUGUCAUAAUCUUUCAGUAACUCAAGCCAUCUACACUGCCUUAAAUUGAGAUCCCUCUGCUUGAACAAAUGUUGUAAGCUGCGAUGAUCAGUAAAAACCUCACAUGACACCCCGUACAGAUAAUGCCUCCAUAUCUUAAGAGCAUGAACAAUCGCGGCCAACUCCAAAUCGUGCACAAGAUAAUUCUUCUCAUGAAUCUUCAGCUGACGCGAAGCAUAUGCAAUAACUCGCCCCUCCUACAUCAAUACACAUUCCAAUCCAAUGCGCGAAGUGUCACAAUAUACCGUAUACAUCCUUGAACCGGAAGGCAACACAAGAAGUGGCGUUAUAGUUAGAGCUGUCUUGAGCUUCUGAAAGCUCGCCUCAAAAUCAUCGGACCAACGGAAAGGAGCACCCUUCUGGGUCAAUCUAGUUAGGGGUGAUGCAAUAGAUGAAAAGCCCUGCACGAAUCAUCUGUAAUAACCUGCUAACCCCAGGAAACUCCUUAUAUUGAUCACUGAAGUAGGACGUGGCCAACUCUGAACUACCUCAAUCUUUUUGAGAUCCACCUUAAUACCUUCUCCUAACACAACAUGCCCCAAGAAUGCUACUAACUCUAGCCAAAACUCACACUUAGACAACUUAGCAUAUAGCUUCUACUCUCGCAAGGUCUGAAGCACUACUCUCAAAUGCUGCUCGUACUCCCCCAGGCUACGCGAGUAUAUCAAGAUGUCGUCAAUGAAGACGAUGACAAAGGAAUCAAUAUAAGGCCUAAAUGCCAUGUUCAUCAAGUCCAUAAAUGAUGAUGGGGCAUUAGACAAGCCAAAGGAGAUCACCAAAAACUCAUAAUGGCCAUAUCUAGUCCGGAAUGCAGUCUUCAGAACAUCCGAGUACCGAAUCUUCAACUGAUAAUACCCUGACCUCAAGUCGAUCUUAGAGAACACCCUAGCACCCUACAACUAUCAAACAAAUCAUUGAUAUGAGGUAAUGGGUAAUUGUUUUUUAUGGUGACUUUGUUCAACUAGCGGUAAUCAAUGCACAUCCGCAUAGUCCCAUCCUUUUUCUUCACAAUUAACACUGGUGCACCCCAAGGUGAUAGACUGGGUCUAACAAACCCCUUUGCUAACAACUCCUCAAGCUGCUCCUUCAACUCCUUCAACUCUUUAGGAGCCAUACGGUAUGGUGGGAUAGAUAUAGGGUGGGUGCCUGGAGCCAAAUCAAUACAGAAAUCAAUAUCACGAUCCAGUGUCAUGCCAGGAAGAUCAGAAGGAAACACAUCGGUGAAAUCUCAGACUACUGGAACUGAAUCAAUCGUUGGAGAUUCUAUUGUGGUGUCCCGAGCAUAAGCCAGAUAUGCCAAACAUCUCUUCUCGACCAUAUGCUGAGCCUUCAGGAAAGAGAUAACCCGACUAGAUGUAUCAAUAGUGGAACCCUUCCACUCCAACCUCAGCAACCCUGACAUUGCUAAUGUAAUAGUCUUGGCAUAGCAAUCUAGGACGGUGUGAUAUGGAGAUAACCAAUCCAUGCCUAGGAUGAUCUCAAAGUCAAUCAUAUUAAGCAACAGGAGAUCUGCACUAGUCUCGAGACCACAGAAUAUGAGCAUGCAGGACUAGUAGAUCCGAUCCACAACCACAAAAUCACCCAUAGGAGUGGACACAUGAAUCAGAGUGCCCAAAGGCUUAGGAGAAAUAACCAGGAAACAAGCAAACAGAGAUGAUACAUAUGAAUAGGUGGACCCUGGAUCAAAUAAUACCGAAGCAUCUCUACCGCAGACAGAAAUAAUACCUGUGAUGACGGCAUUUGAGGCCAAUGCAUCUGGCCUAGCCGGAAGAGCAUAGAAUCUGGCUGGAGCGCCGGCUGGCUUGCCUCCACCUGACUGAGUAGUAGCUGGCUGACCUCUCCCUGUUUGGCCUCCACCUCUAGGACGACCUCUACCAGUCUACCCCCUCCCCCACCUCUAGACGACUGGGCAACUGGUGCUGAAAUCAUAGGCAACCCUGUUGUACUACCUUGCCCCGAAGCCUGGGGUAGGUCCUCUUCAUGUGACUCGGAUCUCCACACUCGUAGCAACCUCUUGGCACCAUAGCCUGCUGCCCUGAAGUCUGAGCCUGCUGACCCGAAUAUCCAUUAAAAGAACCCUGAAUGGCUGAUGGGCGAUAUGAACUCUCUGGCAUGGCACUGAAGUAAGUACUGGAAGAACCCUGAUGACCAGAAUACCCGCCGGAGGAACCUUGAAUAGCUGGUAGACGGUAAGAACUCUCCAGCAUCACACUGAAAUAAGGCCUCACUAGAGUACCUCGGGGAGGUGGUGGUGGUACUGAAUACGGGAGCCUGCUGGGCUGACCCCUCCCGGAGUGCCCUCUACCCCUAGCUGGGGCACCUUUGAACUCUCCAAAAAAUCGGGCCCUCUUGUCCUGCUGAAUCUGCUCUCUACCCCUCUGACGAUAACCCUCUAUCCUACGAGCAAUCUCAACCACUAGCUGAUACUCAGUACCCAUCUCCACCUCUCGAGCCAUGCUAACUCGAAUAUCGGGGUGCAACCCCGCAAUAAAUCUCCGUACUGUCUUUGAAUCUAUGGGAAGUAUCAUGAGUGCAUGGCGAAACAACUCAGAAAACCUCGCCUCAUAAUCGAUCACGAACAUCUGACCUUGCUCAAGAUGCUCAAACUGAUACCGUAGCUCUUCCCUCUCAGAGGGUGGAAUAUAUCUGUCCCAGAAUAACUAUGUGAAUUGACCCCAAGUGAUGGGAGGAGAACCUGCUGGCCUGCCAAGAACAUAAGACUACCACCAUCUACAGGCCCUGCCCUCCAGCUGAAAAGUAGUAAAGUCAACCCCAUGUGACUCCAAUAUCCUCAUGUUGUGCAGUAUGUCCCUGCAUCUAUCUAUGAAGUCUUGGGCAUCCUCAUGACGCUCACCCCCGAAGACAGGAGGGUGAAGUCUAGUCCAUCUAUCCAAUAACUUCUGUGGGUCACCAUCUGCAGCUAGUCUGGGCUCGGGCACCACUGCAGUAACUGGCUGAGCCCCAUCUACGGGUAGUGCACCCAGAGUCUGAUACACUGUAAUUGCAUGACCAGGAGCCUAAGCAGUAGGGGUCUAUUCUCCCCUUCCUGCUUGUGAUGUAGCUGUAUCCGCUGGAAAUAAACCAGCCUGAGUCAUGGUGUCCAUGAACCACAACAUAUAGCCCAUGAUCUCCUGGAAACCUAGUGUUGUCAUAAAGUCCGGUCGGGGUAGGCUCAGCUACGGGUACCUCGCCCUGCUCCUCAAUGAUAAGAUCUCUCGCAGGAUCUGCUGGUGGUGCUACUAGGACAGCUCUAGGAUGCCCUCGUCCCCUACCUUGGGUCGGUUCCCUCCUCCGGCCUCUACCUCGGCCUCUAGAAACAGGGGGAGCAGCCCCUCCCGCGUCUGGAACAUCAGCUGUGCGUAUCCUCACCAUCUGUGAGAGAAUAGCAGAGGGAAAUUUAGUAUACCAACCAUUGCACGAUAGGAAAUGAAUAAAGAGUAGUUUUCCUAAUACCCUAUAGCCUCUCGAAGAUAAAUACAGACGUCUUUGUACCGAUCUGCAAGACUCUAUUAGGUUUUCCCAUGACUUGUGAGACCUACGUGAACCUAGAGCUCUGAUACCAUGUUGUCACGACCCAAUUCCAUUAUAGAUCAUGAUGGCGCCCAACACCCUUGUCAGGCAAGACAACGCGGAAGUAUUAAUAAGUUCUCAUUUUCACUUUACUAAAACAAGUACAGAAAUUUCUAAAUUUGAAGUUAAAAGCAUGUGAUAAUUAGUAACGUACAAAAAUAGAUAUACAAUCCCUAAAAGAAUAGUCUACCAAUGUAUGUACCAAGACCUGGUGUCACAAGUUUAUGGGCAAAUAGAAUAUACAAAAGAAUAAAUCUAUCAUACUGUCUGAAAUAGAAUAGACAGCCAAAAUAAAAAGAGACUCCAUCGUGCUGCUGAACGGCACAGGAAGGGAGCAGCUCAUCGUGAAAGUCUCGGACACUGAUCAAGAAUGUGCACCAGACAGGUAACCAGAUAUACCUGCCUCAGAUCCGGUACAAUUAAGUACAGAAGUGUAGUAUGAGUACAUAAACAAUAUGUACCCAGUAAGUAUCAUGUCUGAUCUCGAAGAAGUAGAGACGAGAAGUCGACUUGACACUUACUAGGGUCAAAUAAUAUGAGAAAUGAAUCAUAGUGAGCAUGGAUAGUACAAAUAAUUAACAGUUUAUAGCAGGAAAUAACAGGUCCUUUCCUAGAUAAUAUCAUAGUUGGCCACUUACAUUUCAGGGCAUAUAACAAAGCUCAAUCCACAGAAAAAUACUGAGUAAAAGCGUGCGCAAGUAGUGCCAAGGUCGUACGACCCGAUCUAACAUAAAAGUAAAUUGUGCAUUGCCGAGGGUCGAACGGUGCGAACGAUAGAUGCAUCUAUUACCUCGCUCGCGAAUCAGACAUGCGAUGCGGUCAAAUGUAAUUAAACACAACAACAGGCAGACAAGAAUAUAUAUCUGGGGAGCAAUUACUCACAGAAAUAUCAACUUCUCUUUAAAAGAAACAAGAAGAUAAUGUUCCUCUUAUUAGUCUCAUUUACCAUAAUCAUCAGGUUUUAAACAAUCCAAAUUAAACAUAAAUUACAAUAAUAUCACAUAAAGCAUGCUUUUGGGUCCUAGACUACCCAGACUUAGCAUAAUAGUAGCUACGCACAGACUCUCGUCACCUAGUCCGUACGUAGCCCCCGCACAGCUAUGGGCACAAUUCUCUCUUACAAGGUUAGAUAUGAGACUCACCUCGCUCCAAAGUGUACUUCCAAUACCAAGAAUGUGCUCAAAACCCUCAAUUUGGAGUCGACGAUCCGAAACUAAUUAAACGAGGUAGGAACUAGUCAAUACAAGCUCAAGAGUUCGCGUUUUAAUUACUAUAGUAAUUUCUCAACCUUAAACACAAGUUUCCUAAAAUCCGACCCCAGGCUCACGUGCCUGGAUUCCGAAUUUUUUUGAAAAAGGUUGUUCAUUAUAACCUAAGGAUCAAUAAUAUAUGAUUUCUAAUGCAUUUCAUAACAAAUUUCGUGGUUAAAUUUAACUUUUACCAAAGCCCUAGGUUUUGCUCUAACCCCAUGAUUUUACCUUUAAUCUUUGUGUGUUAAUCUACCCAAGGGUCAAGUAUUAAACUAGAAUUAGGUAGGAUAAACUUACCUCAAGAUGCUAGGUGGAAGUCCUCUCUCAAGAGCUCCAAAAUCACCUAAUGGGUGAGUGAAAAAUAGCCAAAAUAGCUUAGAGCCCGUAUUAAAUGAAGCUACUGCUUUAGUGAUUUCCGCAUCUGCGGUCAAGGGACCGUAUCUGUGGUCAAGGGACCGCAUCUGCGGUCCCGCUUCUACGAGAGGAAGGCCACAUCUGCAUAAUUGGCCAAGCGAGCUGGGACCGCUUCUGCGGUCUUGAAGCCGCUUCUGCGGUCUUGAAGCCGCUUCUGCGGCUUUGGCUUGGCCUGCCUUGGCCGCAUCUGCGAGAGGACGACCGCUUUUGCGGUCUCGCACCUACGGCUGACCAACCACAAAUGCGUUUAUGACAGCAACCUGAAGCUUCUGCUCUUCCCAAAUUUUCCAACAUCACUCGAGCCUCGUCCGAUUGACGCUCGGGGCUCCCGGGCCCCGCCCGAACAUACCAACAAGUUUGAAAUUAUGAAACGGACUCGCUCGAACCUUCAGAACGCCCAAAACAAUGCUAAAUCUAAGAAUCACCCCCUAAAACCAAUUGAAUCAAACUUAUGAACUUCAAGUUCUUCAAUUCACUUCUCACGCAAACGUGUUACUACUCGGAUUGACACCAAAUUUUGCGGGCAAGUCUUAAAUGUUAUAUUAGACCUGUACCGGGCUUCAGAGCCAACAUACGAGCCCGAUACCAAUAUGAUCAAUCAUUAUUUGAUUUCUUUAAAUCCUUACAAUUUUAGUUUAACAAUUUCUAAUAAAAAUUUAUUACGCGGGCUAGGGACCUCGGAAUUCGAUUCUGGGUAUACGCCCAAGUCCCAUAUUUUUUCCUACGGACCCUCCAUGAUUGUCAAAACACAAAUUCAGGUUCAUUUGCUAAAAAUGUUGACCAAAGUCAAACUUAGCCUUUUAAGAAAAUCUUAAGGAAUCAAAUGAGCCUAUUUCAACACAAACUCUUUCUAAUCCUGAACCAACCAUCCCCGCAGGUCGUAAAAUAGUUAAAACGAGCGCGAAAAGUUUUAUUUGGGAGGACGAGGUUCUAAAACGUAAAAUGACCGGUCGGGUCGUUACAAAUGGACUAAUUAUCAUGCUAGGGUUUUACGCCGACACUGUUGAGACCCGAGUGCCGUUUCUUGAUGUCAUUUUAGCAGGUUCAUUAAUAUUCUUUACUCAAUCACACUCAUGCAUAUCAUAUCAUGUCUCAGUAUCUGUUGUUGUUAUUUGGCACAUCAUAUCAUUGUUUCAGGCUAGUUUCAUAGCAUUGUGAGCCCAUGUGUGUGAGACUGGAGAGUGAUGACUGAGUGAGGCCGAGAGCCUGAUUAUAGGUGACAGUUAUGGGAUCGGGCUGCACGCCGUAGCGGUUAUGUUGAUGAUUAUGAUAAUGCUUGGGUUGUAGGAGCCCCUCCGGGGUCUGUAACACACCCUCAGUGAGCGGGGAUGAUAUUAUUGAGGGAUGGAUUUCCCUGGACAUGGAUUUGUCCGAAGUAUUGAUAUAUGGAGCUGGAUUUCUCCAUAGGGAUGGACUUCCCUUUUUCCUCGGUACCGAGUGACAUCUAGUCAUGGUUGAGUAUGUUCUGGGAUGGAUUUUCCUGGGUCGGAUGGCCAUAUGCGAUACGUAUAUAUAUAUAUAUACCUAGAGAUGGAUUUCUCCUCAGGGUUGGAUUACCCUUGUUCCUCGGUACUGGAUGACUUGCAGUCAGUGUUGUAUAUAUUCCGGGAUGGAUUUUACUGGGCCGGAUGGUCAUAUGCAGUACCAAGUGGUUGAGCUUGAGAGUGGGAGCACAUGGUGCAUUUCAUACAUUCUGUGCAUUGGCAUGUAGAGUUAGCUAAGCUUUGUAUUUUACAUUGUUCAGCUCUGUAUAUAUUUCACUGUUGAGUUGUAUUCCUGAAAGAAUAACAUGCCUACUUUUUUGCACAGUUUAUUUCUAUUUUUUGUUGAGGUUACGUUCAUCACUACCUAUCAGUCUAAAGGUUGGACUUGUUACUUACUGAGUUAGUGUACUCACGUUACCCCUUGUACCUUGUGUGCAGAUCCAGGUGCGUUCGGUCCUGGUAGCAAUCACUGAUCGAGGUUGCAGGCUUGGAAGGUUGUUGAGGUAUUUGCAUGGCAUUCGCAGAUCUUGAUCUUCCUUCUUUAUUCCAGUUGUAUUUCAGUUGUUCCUCAGUAAACACUGUAGUAGACUACGUUAUUUCUCCAGACGCUCAUGUACUCCGUGACACCCUAGUUUUGGGCUGAUUGUUUUCGUAUUAUGAAUUAUGCCUUAUAUUUUUAAAAUAGUUUACUUAAAUGAUGAAUGCGGUUUUUCGCAAAUAUUCUAAAUUCUAGUAUUGUGGUUUGGAUUAUGUUGAGUUGAGGCUGGCCUAGUUUCACGAUAGGCGCCAUCACAACGGUUGAGUUUGGGUCGUGACACCCCUUCUACUCCUAAUUGGAGCUACUAUAGAAUGAAGGCCAUCAACUAUGAUGGCACAGCUAGGGGGAGCAGUAGAUGUAGUAGAAGUUGAAGAUUUGGAAGCCACUGUCAAUAAAAAAAGAAGUUGAACGCAGGAGUGAAGAAUUGUUAAGAGAGUUUAAAGAAGAAGGCAAAGACAAGAGAGUAGAAGAAAUUUGUAAAGGUUAAUAGUUCUGUAUUUAUAAGGAAAUACGUCAUCAUGAUACUGACACAUCCAUCUGUGCAUAGGAAAACGUUGCAAAUUUUAGAGUCAAUUAUAUUAAGACACGUAUCUCGGGAUUAAAUGGAAGAGACACAGGUCUCUUUACUUUUUCAACACAUCAUAAUAAUAUUGGGAAGAGGUGACAAAUAUUCUCUCCAUAAAUAAACUCUCCCCUUACUGAAUAUUCAGUUGAGAAUAUUUUGAAAGUAGGGGGACUAUUUGCAUUAGUAAAAAAUAAACCUGCCACGUAGACUAAUAGUACGGUGACAUGCUUCAAAGGAGUUAAAACGACAAAGAAAAAUGAUGUGUACAUGAGAUGUGAGCAACACCUACAGGAUCACUUGUGUAGAUACCGUACAUGUUAGUCACUACGUUAAAUAUAAAAAAAAAAAUAGUAACGAGACUUAUAAUUAAGUUCAUUAACAUCCAUGAAUAUGAAAAUGUCAUUAAUACUUAUGAUUAUGAACAGAAUCAGUAAAAUCACUAAUUACAUGUAAUUUGUUAUUAUUUUCUCAACUGUUACAAAUCACUCACAUAACAGACAAUUAAUAUAAUAAAUUGCAGUAAGGGACAAGAGCUAAACAAGACAAAUUGUUAUAAGAAGUAGUACUAUUUAAACCCCAAUUUUCAUAACUUAUAUCCUCAUUGAAAAAUCUGCUAAGUAAUACUGUCAGUUAUUAAUAUUCUUAUUGUUUUCUAUUAUUGGGAGAACUACUCUUUCCUACUGGAAGAAAGUGGCAAUCAUUGAUAAGAUUUCUAUUUCCUUAUUCUCAGUUUAAUUCUUUAAUAUCGUUAUUCCUUUUCAUAUCAAUCAUAUUUGAAAUAGUGAAGUAAUUUAGCUGUUAGAAACCCAAAUUAUUUUAUUUAUUUGCUUUUAACUUCAAAUACUAAAUUUUGGGUUAAAAAUGGCACCUAGCUCGUAGCGUCGCCGCACUAAACCUAUAUCUGAAAAGUAAAAUAUACAACAAGGGAGACCUGAAUAUAUAAUGCACUUUAGACGACCCACUAAUAUUGGAACAAGUCCUCGACAAGCAUUUACAAUUAAGACAUAAGAUACUAUGUUCAAUUUAUAACAAAAUAUGAACAAAAGUUCAUAUCAUAGGCAUGUCAAUAACAUGUACGUAUUCGAUAAUACGGUGAACUUCACUUCAUAAUCAUAUUUAUCGAUUGAUCAACAUCUAAAGUAUUCAAACAUACGCCCAAGUUGAAUUAAAUGCAACUGAAUCAAGCCCGAACCCCGAGCCAUGUCAGCUCUUUGCCCAAGCCAAAAUGAGUAUUACUAAUUGUGAGCGGUGAAAAUCAUUUACACACCUCAUCUUGCUUUAAAAAUCAAACUCCCCCUCAACAUUAAAUAAUAGGCAUUCUCCCCCCUAUCAUGUCUAUUGACUUUUUUAAUACCUAUUUUACCCUUACAUAUCAACCUCUCUCUCUCUUUUAGAAUUAUGAUAUUUAUUUCAUUUUUUAAAAUUUAUAUAACAAAAGAAAAAUAUUCCUGAGACGAAAAAAGAAGAGUGAGAAAUAGUAAUUAAGUAAUAUGUUCAAUAGUGAAAUAAAUGGGCAGAAUAAAAAUAAUUUAAUUUUAUAUAUAGCAAUCAAAGCUCUAAUAUAUAUUUAUAAAGUGACAAUAAAAGGGAGUAAAAAAUUAUAAAUAUUUGAAUGCAAGUAAAACAAAGAUAAUUGUCACACCUCCUUUUUUUUUUACCCGUAAGGAGUAUAUAAGGGAGUUUUUCCAAUUAAAGUGGCAUAAAUAGAAAUGAGAUUAUUUUAUUUAAUUUUUCAAAGUCGCAACUUGGGAUAUUUAUUAUGGUGUCUCAAGUCACCGGUUUAUUUUAAAUCCCAAAUCGAGGAAAAUCGAAAGUCUGCAAAAUCAGAAAUCUAGAUAAGGAAUUCUGUUAACCCGGGAGAAGGUGUUAGGCAUUUCCGAGUUCCAUGGUUUUAGUACGGUCGCUUUAAUCAUACCUAGCUCAAUUAAAUUGCCUAAUUACUUAUUUUAGAACCUAUGUGCAUCUACCCCUUUACCGGUUUUAUUUGCUUUAUUACUCUUAAUUAAGGAAUUAUCUAUAAAAAAAAAUGAGUCACGCGUACGUAUACUCAUUUCAUUUGGCGCGUCAAAAAUCAUGUCACGCGUACGUAUCUACAAUUAAUCACGCUUUAUUAUUAUCAAGAAAGUUUGAUCGAAGUUGCGCGAAUGCAUACCUCGAUUUGUUAUUAGGAUCAUAAUUAUGUCACGCAAACGUAUACACAAUCACGAUGAUAGAUUAAAUCGCGCCUUAAGCAAGCUACAAAUGUUCAUAGUAUUUUCUACACUAGUUAGUAUUAAUGUGAGGGCCAUGUGUUAUGGAUUUUAUUUGUGUAUAGCACGCCUCAAUUUAUUCUAAAAGAUUUGUACUCAAUUAAAGCAAUCUACGGAUAUUCAUAGAAUCAAUUACUUUUCUAUAUUCAAGAUCAUGUGUUAAAGUUGAGAGCUACAGAACCAUGUAUUGGGUUGGAGGAGAUGUUGAUAACUCGAAAUUCAUCAACCAUUAGCCUAAACUCAUACCAGUUGAACCAAAGGAGACUUUGAGAACAUAAAAUUACCAACUGACUUUAUACAUCUACCAUAAAUAUGGGAACACUAUUAUAAGCUUGACUCCAACAAAUUCAAAACUAAAGGUUUAGCUCAAUUGAAGCCAAUCAAUAUACGAAUGGACACGCUUAGCUUCCUUUAGAUUUUAAAUCUGUUCAAGCCUUAAACAAACUCAUGACUUGAUACUGACGUUUUUAUUAUUUUAUCAAUAAAUGAGAACAUAUAUGAUAAGUGGCUAUUCCUUGGAUAAACAUUAAUUAUAAUAUAUUUUUAUGAACCCCACAAGCAAUUCUUUCAAUAUCCUAGAUAUUUGUUUUUUUUUUGGAUCAAUCACAAAUGAAGACACUUUUACUAAACAAUAUUUUCACAAUAAUCACUUCAUUACUUACAAUCAUUCAAGUUGUUAGUAAUCAAAUUAAUACAAUCAUAGGCAUCAGGACUGUCCGUUCUUGGUCAGCAAGUGCUGGGGACAAAGAAGAAUUAACACAAACUUUUACUGUUCUCGAAACAUCUACUAACUUCUAGUAUCAGUACAAAUUCCUUGCACACUACUUUUAUAGCAAUAACCACUACAGAUUGAGAACCAAGCAUGUCCAUACGCCAGGCAAAAAAUAUAUCAGCAUAUACUAGGUUGCUAGAUUAAGCAGUGUUGAUAUUUGGUUUUGAGAAGAAUAAGAACUGGAUAAUGCUGGAAUAUAUUUUUUUUACCUCUUUGGCUUGUGAAACAAAUAGUUAGAUACUACUAGAUACACAAGACAUUAAAAUAGAGAUCUGUAUAACGUAGUCUCGUGAAACUUAGAAAAGUAAGACGAAUCUAGGAUUAAUAUGAUAACUCCAAGACAUACUCGAAUAAAAAAAACAGACCCAACACGAAAGAAACUUUAUCAAAAGAGCUAAAUCGAUUUGAUUCUGUUUCAACAAAGAUGCCUCUACAUUUUCAACUUAAGAACUUAAAUUACAUACCUGAUUUAGCCAAAAUACACCAAAAAGAAUAAAUCUCUGAAAUUGCAAGGAGAUGAAAGCAAAAGAACGACACAACAACAGUAGCAGUGUUUAGGAAAAUUGAUGCCAAAAUUCCUGCUUCCUUUUGAUUUUUGUUUGAAAUAUUUUUUCCGAAUUUUUCUUCAAAUUUCGAUUUCCUAGUGUGUUUAUCAGAGAAAUGAGGAAAUGUGGAGUCAGAUGUGAGAAUUGGGUGUUUCUCUAUAUGUGUUUUGAGAAAAUGAUUAAGCAAACAGAAGAAAGGGAGCUGGGGUUGCGCCGUUUGCUCUGGUUUUUGCAAAGGUCCGAGUCCGAUUUUCUCUUUUGGAAGGAAAGGGUUCUCUUCUGAUUGUUCUUAGGUUGAAGAUGCAGACCGUGGGGGAUGCGCCGUUUUGGUGAAGGAAAAUUAGGAAUCUGAUCCCUUCUCUAGGUUUCCUAAUGUGUAUAUAUAUUAGAGUGUAGGAGGUAGGGUUUUAAUAAAGGGGAAUGAGUAUUUGGGUAGUGGGCUGAGAUUGCAUGGGCUUGGGUAAUUUGGAAUUUUUGGGCUUCAAAUUAAACUGGGCCAGAUGAAAUUGAAAGACCAAAUCUACUUUUUUUUUCUUUGUUUUUCUUUUGAUUUCAAAAACUAAUUGAAUUAACUAAACAAGCUAAAUAAAAUCCUAAAUUAGGCUCUACCUUAAAUUAUUUUGUAAAGUUAAUUUUACUUAUUUUUACUAAUUUAAAACUAAUUAAUUUAAAACUAAAAGCUAAAAUGUGGACAUGACUAUUGUAGUAAUAUUUGUGAUUUUUUGUUUAAUGAAUGCAAUUAAACUAUGAAACUAAAUCUAAGAUGGCAUGAAAUUAAAAUGUGACAAUUGUUUUAAUGAUUUUCUUAUGAUUUAAAAAUAUUAAAAAUGCAUGAAAUGCAACUAAAUAAAGAAAAACUUCUAAAAUCCCUAAAAAAUUAUUUUUGGUCUAUUUUUAGGAGUUAUUUCCAUGAGGGGCAAAAAUUAGGUGCUCACAGCUGCCCCUCUUUGCUCGAAAACAUGAAGAGUUUUUAGGCAAAAAAUAAAGUGAGAAACUACGAGCAAUUUUUGCCCGUUUGAAACUCCAUUUGGCAGCAUUUUGAAAGAGUUUGACUGAACCUUACUUCAGAGGUUGCCUACGUAUCCUUGGCUAUAAAGGAAUCAAGUCGGUAUAGUUCUGGAAAUUUUGGUAGCUAGGACUACCGAAAAACUGUGAUUUCACUGUUGUUGCUUGUUGUUUAUGCUUGCUGAGCUCCUUAUUAUACCAUAAUGAAAAAUGAAAAGUUAAACUAGUUAAGACUAUCAGCUACGAGUUACAAGAUUUCUAUCUAUAAACCUUCUAAAGCUUGAUCUUGAGUCUUGGCUGGUUCUUCCUACAGACUCUGAUCUGAAUCUUGAUGCUCGUUAACUGCAACCGUUGGUUCAUUCUUCUUCAGCUUUUCGGAUCAAGGAGGGACAUGCAAAGCUUGUGAUUCAAUCAUAUCUUGAGCAGUCCACAUCUUUCUUCCGCUUCUACACUUAGAGCUCACUUUUUUUCUUGUUUUUUCUUUUCUUUUAUUUGAAUCGAGACUUCUUCUUUUGGCCGCCUUGAAACUUGUGCCUCAAGGUAAAAACCUGAUCAGGUACUAAAACAAAUAAACGAACGAAAUUUUCUGCCCUAGUUUUCACUAGAAAAAUUUCGUGAGUUAUUGUAACAAAAAUCUAAACUACUUCUUUAUUGAAAGCAAUAAAAUCAGGAUUGUGUAUCCUUGGUAGAAAAGAAAUUAGGGAGUGGAGCCCUAUAUCUAAAAUGAAAUCAAAUGGGGAUCGGAGAUCCUAAGUUGGAAAGGUUACCAGGUUAUGCUGGCAUCAACUAAGGAAUGGGACACUAUGCCGGAAAAGAUUACUAGGUUAUGCUAGCAGAGCUAGGGAGUGAGACCCUAUAUUGGAAAAGAUUACCAGGUUAUGUUGGCAUCAGCUAGGGAAUGGGACCCUAUGUUGAAAAAAAUUACCAGGUUAUGUUAAUCAUCGAGUUAUUCCGGAAAGGUCCUCGAGUUAUGCCGAAAGAUCCUCGGGUUAUGCCGGGAAAGGUCAUCGGGUUAUGCCGGAAAAGGUCAUCGGGUUAUGCCGGAAAGGUCCUCGGAUUAUGCCAGGCAAUGUCAUCGAGUUAUGCCAGAAAGGUCCUCGGGUUAUGCCAAAAAGGUCCUCGGGUUAUGCCGGGGAAGGUCAUCGGGUUAUGCCGGAAAGGUCCUUGGGUUAUGCCGGGGAAGGUCAUCGGGUUAUGCCGGAAAGGUCCUCGGGUUAUGCCAGGGAAGUCAUUGGGUUAUGCCAGAAAGGUCCUCGGGUUAUGCCGGGGAAGUCAUCGGGUUAUGCCGGAAAGGUCCUCGGGUAAUGCCGGGGAAAUCAUCGGGUUAUGCCGGAAAGGUCCUCGGAUUAUGCCGGAGAAGUCAUCGGGUUAUGCCGGAAAGGUCCUCGGGUUAUGCUGGGGAAGUCAUCGGGUUAUGCCAGAAAGGUCCUCGGGUUAUGCCGGGAUCAACUAGGGGGUGAGACCCUAUGUUGGAAAGAUUAACAGGUUAUGCUGGCAUCGACUAGGGAAUGAGACCCUAUAUUGGAAAAGACGUAGCUAGAGACUGGAAACCCUAUGCUACCAUGAUUUUUAAUUUUUCUUCUUCUUCUUCUUCAUUUCAUUUCAUUUUUUUUUAAUUUCAGAGAAUGAGUAAAGGCGGGAAAGAAUUUUGGAGAAGACUUCCCUUUUGGAGUUGUUGCGAAGUUGUUUUUAGCCCUUGCGCCAUUUCUUUUUGGUUGCACCUGCUUCUUGCAAGGUUGCUUUGGAUUGCAUUUAUUUCCUAUUUUCUUUCAAACAAAGAACAGUUUGUUAGUUUGAAACGGUGGUUGAUUUUGUGGCCUUGAGCGUUUUAGUCACUUGAUCUCGGCCCGGCUUCGUUGAUGAAGAUUUCAACUGCAACUGCUUGUUCCCUGAGGACCGAUUUCAUUUCUGACCCUGGAGAACCUCUAGCUUUUCCAAACUUUGCCAUGACGGUUGGGCACGUGGAACUCAACCUUUCACUUUUACUACCCGAGAGGGAUAUAAGGGAAUUUUUUCAAUUAAAGUGACAUAAAUCGAAAUGAGAUUAUUUUAUUUAAUUUUUCAGAGUCACCACUUGGGAUAUUUAUUAUGGUGUCCCAAGUCACCAGUUUAUUUUAAAUCCCAAAUCGAGUGAAAUAUACUUUAUUUAAAAGUCUGCUAAACCAGAAAUCUACGUAAGGAAUUCUGUUAACCCAGGAGAAGGUGUUAGGUAUUCACGGAUUUUGUAAUUUUAGCACGACCGCUUUAACAUAUCUGGCUCAAUUAAAUUGUCUAAUUACUUAUUUUAGAACCUAUGUGCAUCUACCCCUUUUACCGCUUUUAUUUGCUUAAUUACUCUUAAUUAAGGAAUAAUCUAAAAAAAUGGGUCACACGUACGUGUACUCAUUUCGUUUGGCGCGUCAAAAAUCAUUUCACGCGUACGUGUCCACAAUUAAUCACGCUUUAUUAUUAUCAAGAAAGUUCGGUCGAAGUUGCGCAAACGCAUACCUCGAUUUUGUUAUUAGGAUCAUAAUUAUGUCACGCGAACGUGUACACAAUCACGAUGAUAGAUCAAGUCGCGCCUAAAGCAAGCUACAAAUGUUCAUAGUAUUUUCUACACUAGUUAGUAUUAAUGUGAGGGCCAUGGGUUAUGGAUUUUAUAUGUGUAUGGCACGCCCCAAUUUGUUUUAAAAGAUUUGUACUCAAUUAAAGCAAUCUACAGAUGUUCAUAGAAUCAAUUACUUUUCUAUAUUCAAGAUCCUGUGUUAAAGUUGAGAGCUACAGAACCAUGUAUUGGGUUGGAGGAGAUGCUGAUAACUCAACAUUCAUCAACCAUUAGCCUAAACUAGGAGUGACAAAUGGGCGGGUUGGGUCAAAUUUGGGCGGGUCAAAACGAGUUGUGUUGAUAUCUGGGUCAUGACCCAACCCACCCAAAAGUUUGCUUGGGACAAAAUGGGUUGGGUUAAGAUGGGUCAAAUAACGGGUCAUAACCCAACCCGCGCAACUAUUACUUAAAUAAAAUUGUAUUAUGUGUGCUGCAAGUUACAAUUAUUCAUCAUCUAUUUUUGUCAAAUAUUAGUUUUAGGAUCGUAUCUUGUCUUCUAACGUAAUUCAAAACUUGGUUGAAACCAUUUAAAAAAUUUAAUAGUUGGGUUAUGUUAUCUUUUAAUAACAAUCAAAAAGAUCUAAAUUUAGUAAAAAGGGCAGCAUUUAAUUUCGGCUUUAACUUUUUCCUGACAAAAAAUCUUCCUCUAAAACAAGGUCUACAACUUUAAAAAAAUGUAAACUAGUGAAUAAUAAUUUAGUAAAAACCAAUAUUAUAAUUGUUACCUUACAUAAAUAUAUCGGCUAGCUUGCAGAAUGUAUAUGUUUUUUUCUUCAUAUCUUCAUGAAUCAUGCAUUAAUCUAUAAAGAAUUCUCUAAAUCAAUUUCACAAAAAUUUAAAGACGCCUAAGAAAUUACAAGUUGUAUGAUUUUAAUAUAUACUGCAAUCAUUUACCUAAAAGAAAUUUUAUGAAAGAAAACAUCAUCUCUAAAGGCAUUUAGGACAAGGUUCUGUUACAAAUGGGAAAUUUUCAAAUGCAAUUAAAUCUGUUAUAAUAAAAUAUAGGGAUUUAGGAGAAGUUGGGUUUUGUCUUAGAAGACACAACUAGAUGAAAGUCAGGAAAGUCCCAGGUUGAUAAACUGACCCGUUGAGUGACCCAAUUUGACCCGUUUUAGAGAUAGGUCAGUUUGGGUUACAACCCAAAUUGACCCGAUAAGAAAAAAUCAUUGAACCAACCCGUUAAAGUUUGGACGGGUUGGGCGGGUUACACAAUUAUGGGUUAAAUUUGACACCUCUAGCCUAAACUCAUACCAGUUGAACCAAAGGAGACUUUGAGAACAUAAAAUUACCAACUGACUUUAUACAUCUACCACAAACAUGGGAACGCUAUUAUAAGCUUGAUUCCAAUAAAUCCAAAACUAAAGGUUUAGCUCAAUUGAAGCCAAUCAAUAUACGAAUGGACACGCUUAGCUUCCUUUAGAUUUUAAAUCUGUUCAAGCCUUAAACAAACUCAUGACUUGAUACUGACGUUUUUAUUAUUUUAUCAAUACGUGAGGACAUAUAUGAUAAGUGGCUAUUCCUUGGAUAAACAUUAAUUAUAAUAUAUUUUUAUGAACCCCACAAACAAUUCUUUUAAUAUCCUAGAUAUUUGUUUUUUUUGUUGGAUCAAUCACAAAUGAAGACACUUUUACUAAACAAUAUUUUCACAAUAAUCACUUCGUUACUUACAAUCAUUCAAGCUGUUAGUAAUCAAAUUAAUACAAUCAUAGGCAUCAGGACUGUCCGUUCUUGGUCAGCAAGUGCUGGGGACAAAGAAGAAUUAACACAAACUUGUACUGUUCUUGAAACAUCUACUGACUUCUAGUAUCAGUACAAAUUCCUUGCACACUACUUCUUUAGAAAUAAGCACUGUAGAUUGAGAACCAAGCAUGUCCACACGCCAGGCAAAAAAUAUAUUAGCAUAUAUUAGGUUACCAGAUUAAGCAGUUUUGAUAUUUGGUUUUGAGAAGAAUAAGAACUGGAUAAUGCUGGAAUAUAUAUUUUUACCUCUUUGGCUUGUGAAACAAAAAGUUAGAUACUGCUAGAUACACAAGACAUUAAAAUAGAGAUCAAUAUAAUGUAGUCAUGUGAAACUCAGAAAAGCAAGACGAAUCCAGGAUUAAUAUGAUAACUCCAAGACAUGCUCGAAUAAAAGAUCCAACAUGAAAGAAACUUUAUCAAAAGAGCUAAAUCGAUUUGCUUCUGUUUCAACAAAAAUGCCUCAACAUUUUCAACUUAAGAACUUAAAUUACAUACCUGAUUUAGCCACCAAAAAGAAUAAAUCUCUGAAGUUGCAAGGAGAUGAAAGCAAAAGAAUGACACAACAACAACAGCAGUAUUUAGGAAAAUUGAUGCCCAAAUUCCAGCUUCAUUUUGAUUUUUGUUUGAAACGAUUUUUUCGGAUUUUUCUUCCAAUUUUGAUUUCCUAGUGUGUUUGGGUGUUUAUCAGAGAAGUAAGGAAAUGUAGGGAGUCAGAUAUGAGAAUUGGGUGUUUCUCUGUGUGUGUUUUGAGAAAAUGAUGAAGCAAACAGAAGAAAGGGAGCUGGGGUUGCGCUGUUUGCUCUGGUUUUUGCAAAGGUCCGAGUCUGAUUUUCUCUUUUGGAAGGAAAUGGUUCUCUUCUAAUUGUUCUUAGGUUGAAGAUGCAGACCGCGGGGGAUGCACCGUUUUGGUGAAGGAAAUUAAGAAUCUGAUCUCUUCUCUAAGUUUCCUAAUGUGUAUAUAUAUUAGAG